rnacentral:tRNA from 4 species
GGGGAAGUGGCUCAGUUGGGAGAGCAUCGCAUUCGCAUUGCGGGGGUCGGGAGUUCAAAUCUCCUCUUCUCCACCA